rnacentral:rRNA from 1 species
CUUGACAUGUAGGUAGUAGUGACCCGAAAGGGAAGGCGACCGGGGUUUACCCCGGAGCCUGCACAGGUGCUGCAUGGCUGUCGUCAGCUCGUGCCGUGAGGUGUAUGGUUAAGUCCCGCAACGAGCGCAACCCUGCCCUAGUUGCUAACCCGCGAGGGUGCACUCUAGGGGACUGCCUCCGUCAAGGAGGAGGAAGGUGGGGAUAACGUCAAGUCAUCAGUGGUCCUUAUGCCCAGGGCUACACACGUCCUACAGUGGCCGUUACAAUGGGAAGCUACAUCGCGAGGUGAUGCCAAUCCUGUAAAAGCGGCCAUGGUUCGGAUUGCAGGCUGCAACUCGCCUGCAUGAAGAUGGAAUCGCUAGUAAUCACUGAUCAGCAUGCAGUGGUGAAUACGUUCCCGGGUCCUU